AUUGAACGCUGGCGGCAGGCUUAACACAUGCAAGUCGAGCGGGGUGAUGGUGCUUGCACUAUCACUUAGCGGCGGACGGGUGAGUAAUGCUUAGGAAUCUGCCUAUUAGUGGGGGACAACAUCUCGAAAGGGAUGCUAAUACCGCAUACGUCCUACGGGAGAAAGCAGGGGAUCACUUGUGACCUUGCGCUAAUAGAUGAGCCUAAGUCGGAUUAGCUAGUUGGUGGGGUAAAGGCCUACCAAGGCGACGAUCUGUAGCGGGUCUGAGAGGAUGAUCCGCCACACUGGGACUGAGACACGGCCCAGACUCCUACGGGAGGCAGCGGUGGGGAAUAUUGGACAAUGGGGGGAACCCUGAUCCAGCCAUGCCGCGUGUGUGAAGAGGGCCUUAUGGUUGUAAAGCACUUUAAGCGAGGAGGAGGCUCUUUUGGUUAAUACCCAAGAUGAGUGGACGUUACUCGCAGAAUAAGCACCGGCUAACUCUGUGCCAGCAGCCGCCGUAA
rnacentral:rRNA from 1 species